UAGAGAAAAACAACUAGCAAUACUAGUAGUAGUUUCCAUUUCCUUAAUCCAAAGCCAAUCGUUUCGGAAAAGCAGAAACCUCAGCAUCGACGCCAUUCAAACAAUACAAGCCUUCAGAAAUAAAACGAGCUUACUUACAAAAACGACAAGUCGCUGCUUGAUCAAGCCUUCCGUCCUAAAUUCAACCGAUUGUUGAAGUUCGUCUUGACUGCCGUUCCUCGCCAACUCCUCCGCCAGAACCACUGCCUUUUGGCUCUCAAGGUCAAAUAUCACUCAUUAUUUAUUUUUAAAACCCAAUCACAGAGGAGUACUGGUACGAACCACAAGUGGUGUUUUAUGAUGAGAUGAUUAAAGUAAUGUCUAGCAAUGGAUUUAUUGACGAGGUUUGGCUUCUUUUUUUAGGCAGGAUGCUUACAGGUAUUAUGGUGAUUCCCUCAAUUACGACGGGGGAAGAGAUAGCAAGUUGAGUUACUUGAAGUAAUAGACAGAUCAAAAUUCCAGCUUUUGAAUUGGUUAGUUCACCAUCACUUGGCACUAAGAGUACCUUGUGAAGAGCAACCUGGAAUGUGUGUUCAACUUCAUGUUGCUGACAGAGAAAUCAUACAUGGCCUUUUGGUUCUGCAAUGCCAACAUGAAUCAAAGUGAAUCAUCUCAAAGUACAGCCUAGUUCAUGAAGCAAGGAUUGCCUGGUAAAAAACUCACGUAAAUGCUGCCUCUGACAUCUCAAAAUGUUCUUUCGGGAAAUUACACCAGCCACCAUAAUCCGCCGAAAGCCCGUAAUUGGGAG